GACGAACGCUGGCGGCGUGCUUAACACAUGCAAGUCGAACGGAAAGGCCCUGCUUUUGUGGGGUGCUCGAGUGGCGAACGGGUGAGUAACACGUGAGUAACCUGUCCUUGACUUUGGUAUAACUUCAGGAAACUGGGGCUAAUACCGGAUAGGAGCUCCUGCUGCAUGGUGGGGGUUGGAAAGUUUCGGCGGUUGGGGAUGGACUCGCGGCUUAUCAGCUUGUUGGUGGGGUAGUGGCUUACCAAGGCUUUGACGGGUAGCCGGCCUGAGAGGGUGACCGGCCACAUUGGGACUGAGAUACGGCCCAGACUCCUACGGGAGGCAGCAGUGGGGAAUAUUGCACAAUGGGAGGAAGACUGAUGCAGAAACGCCGCGUGCGGGAUGACGGCCUUCGGGUUGAAAACCGCUUUCGCCUGUGACGAAGCGUGAGUGACGGUAAUGGGUAAAGAAGCACCGGCUAACUACGUG
rnacentral:rRNA from 1 species